AAUACUAUAUUGAUCUUGCCAAGUUAGAUGAAAGCAAAAUAUGCGUGGGAGAUGGUAUAUACUGGAUCGAAUUUAAAAAGUGGGGGUAUAAUCUACUCGAGAAGUUUGAGCAAAAAGAGUUUCCAUUACUCGCAUAUUUAAAUUAUGAACCGGUCAUUCAACCUGAGGAGAUAUCAAUUAUGGAAGAGGAGUACAUAGAUGAUGAAAGAUCAGUUACAAAGGAACACAAGCGAAGAAGAUGUAAUUAAUGAAGAAGAAAUUAACACACAUUCAUUUGACUUCAUUGAUUGUCCAACCAUUGAAUUUGUAAUCAAGCCCGAAGAGAAUGAAUAAGUAUGCCUAGUUGAUUUCGAAUCGAAUAAAAUAGGCAAGUCAGAUUACAUUGGAGUGGCAAUGCCAAAUUUUAUAGAAUCAACGAAGAGUGGAGUAAAGUCGAAAGAAGCAAAAUGAGCAAGGCAUCAAAAUCACUAUUCA
rnacentral:lncRNA from 1 species